AUUGAACGCUGGCGGCAUGCUUUACACAUGCAAGUCGAACGGUAACAGGCCGCAAGGUGCUGACGAGUGGCGAACGGGUGAGUAAUGCAUCGGAACGUGCCCAGUCGUGGGGGAUAACGCAGCGAAAGCUGCGCUAAUACCGCAUACGAUCUAUGGAUGAAAGCAGGGGACCGUAAGGCCUCGCGCGAUUGGAGCGGCCGAUGUCAGAUUAGGUAGUUGGUGGGGUAAAGGCUCACCAAGCCGACGAUCUGUAGCUGGUCUGAGAGGACGACCAGCCACACUGGGACUGAGACACGGCCCAGACUCCUACGGGAGGCAGCAGUGGGGAAUUUUGGACAAUGGGCGCAAGCCUGAUCCAGCAAUGCCGCGUGCAGGAAGAAGGCCUUCGGGUUGUAAACUGCUUUUGUACGGAACGAAACGGUCCUGGUUAAUACCCGGGGCUAAUGACGGUACCGUAAGAAUAAGCACCGGCUAACUACGUGCCAGCCGCCGCCGUAACAC
rnacentral:rRNA from 1 species